GAGGGUCGUCUCACCUACAGCAGUCUGUGCCUGCUAGAGCUGCUCUCAAAGAUGGGACGGAACCCGAGGAUCUGUGAGGGCUCUGCGAAAGCAGGAGCAGAAGGAGAAGGAAGGCGCGGGCAUGGUGCUGUGCGGGGGGCUGGGGCUCUGAGGGGGUUGGAAUGGUCGCGAGGUGGGUUAGUGGAUCACGUUCUUCUUAAAGAAAAUAAAACGAAACUUGAGUGCGUGCGUCUCGCAUGCAGCUGCUCCGUGUCAGGGCAGGCAGUCCUCGUUCUGUGGCAGUGUUCGUUUCCUAUUUCCCUCAGCUGUGCACAUCUGUGAGUCUUCUGGAAGCGCUGAGCUCUGGGUCUUCCUCAGAAAUGUGGAGGAUCCCGGAUGUAUUUCUUUACACUCAUUUGGUGGUGCAGAAGACAUUAGAUUUGAAUGGUUCCCUCCACCUUCCCCCACCCCAACAAGCCCUCGGCCAAGAUUUGUUGGACCCUGCAGGAAGAGUUGAAUUACUCCAACCAUGUGGACAUUGCAGCCUUAAAGGUGAAGAUAUGCCAGCUGAGACAACGCAUACAGAAAGUAAACAACUAUGCUCAGGGUAAUGACUGUUUCACUUUCUGUCUGCAGACCUAUACUACACAUUUCCACUUUUAUUCUUCCACUCAGGCUCAACUUUUCCUCUUACAGUGCUUAGUAGUGAAGGAGGGGAAAAAAAAAUACAGACCGUGGUAACGAGGCACUUUUUGUUAGUUAGGGAAGGGAGAGGACUGGGGUCUGCACACUAACCUGCAGGAAACAUCUGUAUUUGGAACAGUGGUUUUAAAGCCCAGCUGGCUGAGCUCUACCUUCCACCUUCCUGAAGCAAGUUUGUUCCUGA